UGCCACUAGGCUCAGCACAUAGCCAAUCCUACCAUUUCUCGAGGGCAGCUGAAAGUGUUUACUCAGGUAGAGGGGCUGGACAGGGUAGGGUUGGGUCAGCAGCCAGUGCAGGUUGGGCACAGCCAUAUGUUGUUAUCUACCUUGAGGAGUUAGUUGGUAGCACCAGCAUCUUUGGGUAGAAUUGCUUCUGACCCUUGGUGCCCACCAGCCCCAAGAGGUUCAGCUGCAAGUGUGCCACUGAACUGAGGACACAGCACCAGACCUGAAUCCAGUUCACAUGGAGGCUGCGGCUCUACAGGGUCCUAGGCUGUGACCACCCAGCACAGCGGCGUGACCCAGGAAAGGUGGAUUCAACAGUGCAGGUGCAGUGACAAGUACAGAGGCAGGUGUGUGGUCUGGGCAAAGCGACAAGAGGGGGGAGGUAGCAAAGAAGAUUGGACUAGAGGACCUGGCCGUUCCCCCUUCACCUCCAAGACCCUGGACUCUCUUAUUUCAGCUCCACUCCUUCCUCGUGGCCAAAGUUUGCUCCCUUCUUCAGAAGUUUGGGAGUGUGAGAGAAUAUGGGAAGGAAAUAAGGACCCUGGAGAGAAUGAAAUUGCCUUCAAAGAGCAAGUGGGAAGUUCCUUUCAUUUCCAGCCAGUGAAAAAUGGUCAAGGUGUCAGCAAACCUCACAACAAAUCCCAACACCAAGUAA
rnacentral:lncRNA from 1 species